rnacentral:rRNA from 1 species
AUUGAACGCUGGUGGCAUGCUUAACACAUGCAAGUCGAACGGUAACGGUCCUAGCUUGCUAGGAGCCGACGAGUGGCGAACGGGUGAGUAACGCGUAGGAAUCUGCCUUGCAGUGGGGGAUAACACUAGGAAACUGGUGCUAAUACCGCAUACGCCCUUAGGGGGAAAGAUUUAUUGCUGCAAGAUGAGCCUGCGUCAGAUUAGCUAGUUGGUGGGGUAAUGGCCUACCAAGGCGAAGAUCUGUAGCUGUUCUGAGAGGAAGAUCAGCCACACUGGGACUGAGACACGGCCCAGACUCCUACGGGAGGCAGCAGUGGGGAAUAUUGGACAAUGGGCGCAAGCCUGAUCCAGCAAUGCCACGUGUGUGAAGAAGGCCUGCGGGUUGUAAAGCACUUUCAGAAGGGAAGAAGGACGCGCAAGCGUAUUGACAUUAC